rnacentral:rRNA from 1 species
GACGAACGCUGGCGGCGUGCUUAACACAUGCAAGACAAACGGAAAGGCCCAGCUUACUGGGUGCUCGAGUGGCGAACGGGUGUGUAACACGAGGGUGAUCUGCCCCUAACUUCGGGAUAGGCUUGGGAAACUUGGUCUAAUACCGGAUAGGACAAGCGUCUCGUGUGGGUUGUGGAAAGUUUUUUCGGUUGGGGAUGAGCCCUCGGCCUAUCAGCUUGUGGGUGGGUUAAUGGCCUACGAAGGCGUCGACGGGGAGCCGGCCUGUGAGGGUGGACGGCCACAUUGGGACUGAGUUACGGCCCAGACUCCUACGUGAGGCAGCAGUAGGGAAUAUGGCACAAUGGGCGCAAGCCUGAUGCAGCGACGCCGCGUGGGGGAUGACGGACUUCGGGUUGUAAACCUCUUUCGACAGGGACGAAGCUUUGGUGACGGUACCUGUAUAAGAAGCACCGGCUAACUACGUGCCAGCAGCCGCCGUAA